AGCGAACGCUGGCGGCAGGCCUAACACAUGCGAGUCGAACGAACCUUUCGGGGUUAGUGGCGGACGGGUGAGUAACACGUGGGAACGUGCCUUUAGGUUCGGAAUAACUCAGGGAAACUUGUGCUAAUACCGAAUGUGCCCUUCGGGGGAAAGAUUUAUCGCCUUUAGAGCGGCCCGCGUCUGAUUAGCUAGUUGGUUGAGGUAAUGGCUCACCAAGGCGACGAUCAGUAGCUGGUCUGAGAGGAUGAUCAGCCACAUUGGGACUGAGACACGGCCCAAACUCCUACGUGAGGCAGCAGUGGGGAAUCUUGCGCAAUGGGCGAAAGCCUGACGCAGCCAUGCCGCGUGAAUGAUGAAGGUCUUAGGAUUGUAAAAUUCUUUCACCGGGGACGAUAAUGACGGUACCCGGAGAAGAAGCCCCGGCUAACUUCGUG
rnacentral:rRNA from 1 species